CUUGUACUCCCUCCGUCCCAAAAUUCUUGUCUUAGAUUUGUCUAAAUACGAAUGUAUCAAGUCACGUUUUAGUAUUAGAUACAUCCGUAUCUAGACAAAUCCAAGACAAGAAUUUUGAGAAGGAGGGAGUAGAAU
rnacentral:pre_miRNA from 1 species